GAAGCUAAAGGAAGCCCUACAACAACAGAAUCACAAAAAAGAACAGAAAUACAGAACCUUAAUUAAACUUACUAUUCGGUUUCUAACGAUUUCUUUAUUUGUAAUAGGUAUAAAGUUGAAAACUUGACAACUCGGUUGAGAAUCUACGGUUUGGGAGAGUUUGAGGGUCGUGGAGUAUUUUAAAGAGGUGUAUGGGUAUGAGAUAAAGUAUAGGAAUUUGUCAUGUUUGCAAACGAGUCUGAGGCAGGUGUGUUACCUGCCGAUGGAGGUGUGUAUUGUGUGAUGGGCAGAAGUUUACGCAGAAGCUUUCAAAUGAGCAAACGGAGAGAAUGUUGAAGUUGGGGUGCCAGAAACCGAUGGAACGGAAAGGGUUUAUUCAUAGGGUUAUGGUUGAAUCCUUUGUUCCGUCUAGAAAACGUUUGAAGAAAUGAGCAAAGAUGGGGGAAUAUGAAUAACUGCAAGGAAUGUGGAGCUCUAUUUAGAAAUCCUACACACUAGAAGCAACAUAGGCAAGGCUAUUGUAUGUUUUUGUAAUAUGUUUUUUUUUUUGUUUAUUUUAUUUUAUUUUGAUUGCAGUGUUCAAUUAAUGCGAUAUUUGUAUUUCAAUGUAAUAAUUUUUAAUGUAAU
rnacentral:lncRNA from 1 species